AUCAACUUUUAAAGUCAUUAUAUUUUUGUAGACUACUAGCAAUUAGGAUUACUUUGUUAUUCAAAUUUGUUGCUUUUAUAUAGUGUCCACUACAAGUCGGGAGUACUGAGUGUGGAUACUACGUCAUGAGGUAUUUGAGAGAAAUUGUGACUAGGGGAAGCAUUGUCAUAUCCGAUGCGAUUGAUACACGAAGAUCAUACUCACAGGCAGAACUAGACGAGGUGUGAGUUGAGUUAGCUGACUUUUUGGGUUCUUACAUAUGACUAUGACUAAUAUUUUGUGAUUCUGAAGUAGGAAGUUUUUUGUUGUGUCGCUUCUUUAUGACCUUAAACUUUAUGUAUAGAAACUUUAGCCGAUAAUUCUUUUGAAUUGUUCAUAUAGAGGAGGGGGGUUCAUUCGUAUAUACUUUUGAUUAUUGUUAUAGCUGACAUGUUUUGUGACUUUGUAAGUUGAUUUGAAUUCAUGCCAAUGUAAUGCCAUAUGAAAUCUAAUGUAAAGCCUAUUUCAUUAUGUAUAUGUAAAGUCUUGGAAUUAAAUAU